rnacentral:lncRNA from 1 species
GACAAGGGGUGCUAAUUCUCCUAUUCAUCUGUAAUUCUGUAUCGCAGGUAAAUGCCAUGCUUGAGUGCAGGAUAUAGUUAGCACGAUUCUUGGAUACACAGUUAUAUGAAUUUGGAUACUCUUUAGAGGUUAGUAAUUUCACCAACCUACCUUGUAUCUUAAUACCAGCCUCUCUACCUCACCUUUGAAGAAGUUGUAUAGACUGUGUACACUAGUUAUGUUUGUUGUUGUUGAAUUGUAUCCUUGUUUUGGUCUUCCUCCACUUCAACCCCCUGCUUCAUUAUGCUUGAUUUUAAAUAUGAAUACUUUGUUUGCAGUGACUCUUUGUACAUAACAGGUCAUACGAGCAUUAAAACUUUAUGCAAAUUCCUCAAAGUAGACUUAAUUUUAAGAAAAAGAAACUUGAUGACGAAUAUUUUC